rnacentral:rRNA from 1 species
CGGGAAUAUUGCGCAAUGGAGGAAACUCUGACGCAGUGACGCCGCGUGCAGGAAGAAGGUUUUCGGAUUGUAAACUGCUUUAGACAGGGAAGAAACAAGACAGUACCUGUAGAAUAAGCUCCGGCUAACUACGUGCCAGCAGCCGCGGUAAUACGUAGGGAGCAAGCGUUAUCCGGAUUUAUUGGGUGUAAAGGGUGCGUAGACGGGAAAUUAAGUUAGUUGUGAAAUCCCUCGGCUUAACUGAGGAACUGCAACUAAAACUGGUUUUCUUGAGUGCUGGAGAGGAAAGUGGAAUUCCUAGUGUAGCGGUGAAAUGCGUAGAUAUUAGGAGGAACACCAGUGGCGAAGGCGACUUUCUGGACAGUAACUGACGUUGAGGCACGAAAGUGUGGGGAGCAAAC